CCAGGAGGUUAUAAACGACGUCUAACCAUAAACGGGAUCAGUAUAAUAUCCAUGUCACGUUCAGCGUCCUGGGUGGAGGUUUACCUGCACGCAGUCUAGACUCUACCCUGUUGGUGGCAUUGGACUCCUUCAACGUUGACUGGCUUGCUCUGCGUCACCACCGUUUCACUAUCUCAAUUUACGUCUAUCGCGUACUUAGAGCCGACACACCUCUCCAUUUAUCCAUAUACAUAAUGUACAAUGGGGUAGACCAGUGCUUGGCCAACGGGAUAAACCCAAUUUGUAACAUUUACGUAGGCGAAGUCGCAUAUUGGCUGAGUGGUUAGUGAACGAGAGGUAGCUUCCCUCAGGGUUAUAUGGUACCGUGUGUUAGAGGCAUACCCAAAAGCUUCCGGCAACGGAGUACUCGCUGGCGAGGUAGAGGGGGAGAGGGAAAUGAAUCAAGCUGAGCAAACAUCCAACUUGGAGAUACGGUGUCGCCUCUCUCCAGACGGUUAGGGUUACCGGCGUAGCGGAUACCUCACAAAGAGGAAGAAGGCUUUUGUCGGGCGGGCUUUGCCAAGCGUGCUGGUGAAUCGUUUUAAAUGAUUGUUUUCUUUCGGGGGAAGUAGUCCCAAGGUCAUCAAGGUGGCGAGGAGCUUCCACAAUGAAGGCAAUGCGGAGGUCAGAUGAAGAUCGACCCGAGGAGAAUUCUAGCUGAAGGUGCUUUGAGGAUUUGGAUCAGGAUUCCGUUAGGUCCGGAUCCAAACAAGAAUUUCUUUUUUUAGCCGAGACUGAUCAAUAUAUCGAAUAAAAAGAUUCACUUGGUGGACACAUCAACUCAGGAAAUCCGACGACAAGGCUACUUACCAGGAAGAAUGGCCCUGACAUUCGUAAUAAGUUAAUGCAUAUGGCUGACGGCAGGGGCCGAAUUGGCUGGGAAACAAAGAGUGUGUCGUGCGGUGGUUGAAAGGGAGGUGGGAGAGGAGAGGCCGUCGUGCUGCUCUCUCAUCGGGCAGUCGUCGGUGUCGAGGGCAUCAUGCAGAAUGGACGAGCAAGUGAGAGAAGAAGACAUGAAGGGGGUUGCGUCGCCUGCAGGGAGAUAAGGCUGUACAGCACAGAGAAAGCGUAGCAUCUCAUCCCAUGGGAUAUCAGGAGAGUGGCCUCCCCUCCGGUGCUUUAGCCAACCCCCGGGCUAGACCAGACUGGAAUAUCUUAAACGGGAAGGGACUUUUUAAGCAAAAAACUUUAUCGCUCUGCGACGAGCGACGCCAGUCGGCCAACGGGGGAUUCCUGUGUGGCUCGAGGCUACUGCCAAAAUCUUCAACCGCACGAUAAAUUUACCAUGUCCUUUGUAUAUGUAUAUUGAAUCGAGUAAGGAAAAAAAAUA